UUAGUAUUUUAAUUAUCCGUACCUUGGAGCUCCGAUAUUGGAACUCAAGACAACUUUUCGCUAUUCACACAUAAAAAGCGCUGCUGGACUUAUCUACCGAAUUAGUCACUCCAAUACACUUGGUUAUAUACCCCAACUGGCUGUCAACGGAUGAGACAAGUUCAAAAUUAAAGUUCAUAUUAAAAAAAACUAUCACCCAAAACUCAUUAUUAAGUUUAA